GGCUCCAUAGUGUAGUGGUUAGCACAUGUGCUUUACACGCAGAAGGUCCUGGGUUUGCUCCCCAGAUGGAGCCA
rfam:Pteropus alecto contig82386, whole genome shotgun sequence.